rnacentral:miRNA from 1 species
GUGGGAGGGAGGGAGGCGUUG